AGUGAACGCUGGCGGUAGGCCUAGCACAUGCAAGUCGAACGGCAGCACAGUAAGAGCUUGCUCUUACGGGUGGCGAGUGGCGGACGGGUGAGGAAUACAUCGGAAUCUACUUUUUCGUGGGGGAUAACGUAGGGAAACUUACGCUAAUACCGCAUACGACCUACGGGUGAAAGCAGGGGAUCUUCGGACCUUGCGCGAUUGAAUGAGCCGAUGUCGGAUUAGCUAGUUGGCGGGGUAAAGGCCGACCAAGGCGGCGAUCCGUAGCUGGUCUGAGAGGAUGAUCAGACACACUGGAACUGAGACACGGUCCAGACUCCUACGGGAGGCAGCAGUGGGGAAUAUUGCACGAUGGGCGCAAGCCUGAUCCAGCCAUACCGCGUGAGUGAAGAAGGACUUCGGGUUGUAAAGCCCUUUUGUUGGGAAAGAAAAGAAGCAGGUUAAUACCCCGCUGUUCUGACGGUACCCAAAGAAUAAGCACCGGCUAACUUCGUG
rnacentral:rRNA from 1 species